UAGAGUUUGAUCCUGGCUCACAACUAACGCUGGCGGCGUGCCUGAGACAUGCAAGUCGUGGGAGAAUGUCGUAGCAAUACGGCUAGUAAACCGGCGCACGGGUGAGUAACACGUGGAUAACAUGCCUUGAAGCCCGGGAUAACCCGUCGAAAGACGGACUAAUACCGGAUAAGACCACGGGAAGUUCGCUUCCUGGGGUAAAAGGUGGCCUCUGCUCCUGCAAGCUAUCACUUCUAGAGUGGUCCGCGGCCUAUCAGCUAGUUGGUGAGGUAAUGGCUCACCAAGGCUAAUACGGGUAGCUGGUCUAAGAGGAUGGUCAGCCACACUGGGACUGAGACACGGCCCACAGUCCUACGGGAUGCAGCAGUCAGGAAUAUUGCGCAAUGGAGGAAACUCUGACGCAGCGACGCCGCGUGGGUGAUGAGGGCCUUCGGGUCUUAAAGCCCUGUCGGGAGGGAAGAAAAGCUUGUUGGCUAAUAUCCACCGAGCCUUUGACGGUACCUUCAAAGGAAGCACCUGUUAACUCCGUGCCAGCAGCCUCGGUAAGACGGAGGGUGCAAGCGUUGUUCGGAUUGACUGGGCGUAAAGGGCGUGUGGGCGGGUCGCUGAGUCGGGUGUGAAAGCCCGGGGCUCAGCUCCUGAAGUGCGCCCGAGACUGGCAAGCUGGAGCGCUCUAUACGAGGGUGGACUUCCUGGCGUAGCGGUGAAUGCGUAGAUUUCAGGAGGAACACCGGCGGCGAAUGCUGCCCUCUGCACCCCUCGCUUACGCUGAGACGCGAAAGCGUGGGGUGCAGACGGGCAGUCAUAUACCCUGGGUAGUUCCACCCUG
rnacentral:rRNA from 1 species